UAAAAGGUGCAGGAGUCCUGCCAUUCCACCUUCAUUGCAACGAUUAAAGGNGCAAGAGCCCCGCUUUCCUUUCCAUCUGGCUGACCAAUCAACCCCUGCAGAGCCUUUGUGGUUCUCCCAGCCAGCAAACAGCCUUCAAGCGUUAAAGCGAGGGAGCUGUGAACUUCCUAGAGAGGCCAAGUGUUGGGGAGGGGCAGCAGCUACUUCCUGCUCCAAUCCCCACUCCUUCUUUUCCCUUCUCCCGGGGACAAAAAGGGGGAGGCUUUUGACUUCUUAAAGACAUUUUGGGAGAUGCUGUUUCAACAAGUUCAAAAAGGUGUAAGAGGUCUAGUUUUGUGCGCAGUUUGGAAUCUGUACCCAGUUUCCCAUGCUUCUUUGGGACUUUAAGUUUGCUCUCCUUUCUUAUUGGAAGACAGCCCUGUCACAGGGAUCAAGAGAAGAAGCACCUGACAUAUUCCGUGAAGCAGCAAAGAUGUCCUUUGUCACUCAGAGACCUUUUUGCGGGUGGAUCAUGCAGGAAAAUGAUAUGGCUUCAACCUGGCUGGGCAACAAAGUGACACCAAAUGUCCACAUACGGUUGUUCCCUUUUGAUGUUGAUGAAGCAAAGAUGGUUCUCGUGCACCCUGCAGAGGUAGGGGAAGAAAUCCCAGGGGCUGAUGCUGGGUAACUGAAACAG
rnacentral:lncRNA from 1 species